UCCAAUCGAACUCGGAGAUAGCUGGUUCUCCUCGAAAUAGCUUUAGGGCUAGCCUUGUGUAGUAGUAUAUGGGGGUAGAGCACUGACUGAGGUAGGGGCCUAACCAGGUUACCAAACUCUAUCAAACUCCGAAUACCGUAUAUGUAAGCACAGGAGUCAGACUGUGGGAGCUAAGUUCCAUGGUCAAAAGGGAAAGAGCCCAGAUCGUCAAUUAAGGUCCCAAAGAUAUAGCUAAGUGGCAAACGAUGUGAUUUUGCGUAAACAACCAGGAUGUUGGCUUAGAAGCAGCCAUACAUUUAAAGAGUGCGUAAUAGCUCACUGGUCGAGUGAAGUUGCGCGGAAAAUUACCGGGGCUAAGCUAUACACCGAAAUUGCGGAUUUACAUUUGAAAGAUAAUGUAAGUGGUAGAGGAGCAUUCUGUAGUAGGGAGAAGCAUAAGCGAGAGCAUGUGUGGACGAGGCAGAAGAGAGAAUGCUGGAAUAAGUAGCGAGAGCAAGGUGAGAAUCCUUGCCGUCGAAAGUCUAAGGUUUCCUGGGGAAGGUUCGUCCGCCCAGGGUAAGUCGGGACCUAAGGUGAGGCUGAAAAGCGUAGCCGAUGGAUAGCAGGUUGAAAUUCCUGCACUAUAGAUAUACUUAAAAGAUGCAAGGGACGCAGGAGUGGAAGAUAAGCGAGGAAGAGGAAAAACUCGUAUCGCAAGAUAUAGUGAAAAUAAAGUAACGAAUUAUCAAGAAGCACACUGACGAGAAAAGCUUGUAGAUAUUGUAUAUAAAUACCCGUACCGCAAACCGACACAGGUAGAUGAGGAGAGGAUCCUAAGACGAGCGGGAGAAGCAUUGUUAAGGAACUCGGCAAAUUGACCCCGUAACUUAGGGAGAAGGGGUGCCAAGGUAACACUUGGCCGCAGUGAAGAGGUUCAAGCAACUGUUUAACAAAAACACAGGUUUCUGCUAAAUCGAAAGAUGAAGUAUAGGAGCUGACGCCUGCCCAGUGCUGGAAGGUCAAAGGGAAGUGUUAGUAAAAACUUACGAAGCACAGAACUCAAGCCCCAGUGAACGGCGGCCGUAACUAUAACGGUCCUAAGGUAGCGAAAUUCCUUGUCAGGUAAGUUCUGACCCGCACGAAAGGCGUAAUGAUUUGAACACUGUCUCAACAAUGUACCCGGCGAAAUUGUAGUACUAGUGAAGAUGCUAGUUACCUGCGACAAGACAGAAAGACCCCAUGGAGCUUUACUGCAGCUUGAUACUGGGUUUUGGUAAUUUAUGUACAGGAUAGGUGGGAUACUAAGAAGCAAGUGCGCCAGCAUUUGUGGAGUAGACGUUGGGAUACCACUCUUAAAUUAUUGAAAUUCUAACCUGUGAUCAUGAACUGGUCAGGGGACAAUGUCAGGCGGGCAGUUUGACUGGGGCGGUCGCCUCCUAAAGAGUAACGGAGGCGCCCAAAGGUUUCCUCAGCACGGACAGAAAUCGUGCGAAAGAGUGUAAAGGCAGAAGGAAGCUUAACUGGGAGACUGACAAGUCGAGCAGAUACGAAAGUAGGGCUUAGUGAUCCGGCGGUAGUGAGUGGAAAUGCCGUCGCUCAACGGACAAAAGUUACCCUGGGGAUAACAGGCUUAUCUCCCCCAAGAGUUCACAUCGACGGGGAGGUUUGGCACCUCGAUGUCGGCUCAUCGCAUCCUGGAGCGGAAGUACGUUCCAAGGGUUGGGCUGUUCGCCCAUUAAAGCGGUACGCGAGCUGGGUUCAGAACGUCGUGAGACAGUUCGGUCCUUAUCUGUCGCAGGCGUAGGAUAUUUGAAGGGAGCUGUCCUUAGUACGAGAGGACCAGGAUGGACAUACCGAUGGUGUAUCAGUUGUCACACCAGUGGCACGGCUGAGUAGCUAAGUAUGGAAGGGAUAAACGCUGAAAGCAUCUAAGUGUGAAGCCCACCUUAAGAUAAGAUAUCCCAUUGCGUAAGCAAGUAAGAUCCCAUGAAGACUACAUGGUAGAUAGGUUGGGGGUGUAAGUACAGUAAUGUAUUAAGCUGACCAAUACUAAUAGAUCGAGGGCUUAACCAC
rnacentral:rRNA from 1 species